UACGUAGGCAGCAAGCGUUGUUCGGAGUUACUGGGCGUAAAGAGUGCGUAGGUGGUGCCCUAAGUCUGUUGUGAAAUCUCCCGGCUUAACUGGGAGGGUGCGGUGGAAACUGGGGUGCUUGAGUGUGGGAGAGGUAAGCGGAAUUCCUGGUGUAGCGGUGAAAUGCGUAGAUAUCAGGAGGAACACCGGUGGUGUAGACGGCUUACUGGACCACGACUGACACUGAGGCACGACAGCGUGGGGAGCAAACAGG
rnacentral:rRNA from 1 species